GACGAACGCUGGCGGCGUGCCUAAUACAUGCAAGUUGAGCGCUGAAGGUUGGUACUUGUACCAACUGGAUGAGCAGCGAACGGGUGAGUAACGCGUGGGGAAUCUGCCUUUGAGCGGGGGACAACAUUUGGAAACGAAUGCUAAUACCGCAUAAAAACUUUAAACACAAGUUUUAAGUUUGAAAGAUGCAAUUGCAUCACUCAAAGAUGAUCCCGCGUUGUAUUAGCUAGUUGGUGAGGUAAAGGCUCACCAAGGCGAUGAUACAUAGCCAACCUGAGAGGGUGAUCGGCCACAUUGGGACUGAGACACGGCCCAAACUCCUACGGGAGGCAGCAGUAGGGAAUCUUCGGCAAUGGACGAAAGUCUGACCGAGCAACGCCGCGUGAGUGAAGAAGGUUUUCGGAUCGUAAAACUCUGUUGGUAGAGAAGAACGUUGGUGAGAGUGGAAAGCUCAUCAAGUGACGGUAACUACCCAGAAAGGGACGGCUAACUACGU
rnacentral:rRNA from 1 species